GAUGAACGCUGGCGGCGUGCCUAAUACAUGCAAGUCGAGCGAACAGACGAGGAGCUUGCUCCUCUGACGUUAGCGGCGGACGGGUGAGUAACACGUGGAUAACCUACCUAUAAGACUGGGAUAACUUCGGGAAACCGGAGCUAAUACCGGAUAAUAUAUUGAACCGCAUGGUUCAAUAGUGAAAGACGGUUUUGCUGUCACUUAUAGAUGGAUCCGCGCCGCAUUAGCUAGUUGGUAAGGUAACGGCUUACCAAGGCAACGAUGCGUAGCCGACCUGAGAGGGUGAUCGGCCACACUGGAACUGAGACACGGUCAAGACUCCUACGGGAGGCAGCAGUAGGGAAUCUUCAGCAAUGGGCGAAAGCCUGACGGAGCAACGCCGAGUGAGUGAUGAAGGUCUUCGGAUCGUAAAACUCUGUUAUUAGGGAAGAACAAAUGUGUAAGUAACUAUGCACGUCUUGACGGUACCGAAUCAGAAAGCCACGGCUAACUACGUG
rnacentral:rRNA from 1 species